UCUUAUUGAUGAACAAAGAAAGUGGUUUCUUGAUAUGGAACCUACUCCUGGUGAAGACAGUGUGAU
rnacentral:pre_miRNA from 5 species